rnacentral:tRNA from 1 species
GGCGUCGAUGGCCAGGUUGACCUACGCUCGGCGCUGGUGGCGCUGGCGGCCCGUGGCGUCAAUGAAGUGCUGGUGGAAGCCGGCCCAAGCCU